rnacentral:ncRNA from 1 species
UGUCUAUGAAGAUGCGGACUACCUGCACCUGGACAUAAAGACCCUAUGAAGCUUUACUAUUCCCUGGGAUUGGCUUUGGGCCUUUCCUCCACAACUUAGGUGGAAGGCGAAGAAGGCCCCCGGAAUCCAUCAGUGAGAUACAAACUCUAGAAGAGCUCGGAUUCUAACCUUGUGUUAGACCCGCGGGCCAAGGGACAGUCUCAGGUAGACAGUUUCUAUGGGGGGUAGGCCUCCCAAAAGGUAACGGAGGCGUGCAAAGGUUUCCUCGGGCCAGACGGACAUUGGUCCUCGAGUGCAAGGGUAGAAGGGAGCUUGAUUUCAAGACUCACCCGUCGAGCAGAGACGAAAGUCGGCCUUAGUGAUCCGACGGUGCCGAGUGGAAGGGCCGUCGCUCAACGGAUAAAAGUUACUCUAGGGAUAACAGGCUGAUCUUCCCCAAGAGUCCACAUCGACGGGAAGGUUUGGCACCUCGAUGUUGGCUCUUUGCCACCUGGAGCUGUAGGUGGUUCCAAGGGUUGGGAUGUUCGCCCAUUAAUGCGGUACAUGAGCUGGGUUCAGAACGUCGUUCGACAGUUCGGUCCAUAUCUGUUGUGGGUGUUAGAGCAUUGAGAGGACCUUUCCCUAGUACGGGAGGACCGAGAAGGACGCACCUCUAGUGUACCAGUUAUAGUGCCUACGGUAAACGCUGGGUAGCCAAGUGCGGAGAGGAUAACUGCUGAAAGCAUAUAAGUAGUAAGCCCACCCCAGGAUGAGUGCUCUCU